rnacentral:lncRNA from 1 species
UUAGUUAUUUCAAAGCCGCGCUGAUUUUAUUCAUUAUAAUUGGUUCAUCAUCGAGACUUUACUGCUCUUUGUGCAAGUUUCAUCAAGUUUAUUUGAGCCAGUAUCGUGACAACACUGUGUGCUAUUCUACUCAUUCACGAACAAGUGAAACUCCAGCUAUUUAUUACACGCCUCACAAAGCCUUGGAUUCGGGAGAAGCAGUCAAGGCUUAUGGGAAGUUGCAGUUUCAUAAUGAUUAUUUAAUUCGUGAGCGGAAUAUUAGAAAAGGAAAACUAAAGCUUCUAGCUCGAAGUGCUGAUGAAGAUGAAGAGAAUAUACCAAUUUCGAAUAAAGAAAGUGAAAAUUUGGAAUUUUUAAAGAAAUACAUUGAACCGUGGGAUCAUGUUGGAAAACUUUGGAAGCUAACGUUCCAUGAAAGACAAACUUUAUUUGUGACAUUAACAAUUGCAGAAUAUUAUUAUCUUUUUCCUUGUUUGAAACAAGAAAAAGGAUAUUUGUUGAAUUGGAUUUUGAUGUAAAAUAUCCUAAAAAGAAAAACGCUUUUUCAACUAAGUGGCCAAAAGUACGAGAUCAACUUGUGAAGUUAUUUCGAAGUCACAGACAAACCAUAGAUUUAUGUUUUGCAGCAGAAGCAAAAAAACUGCAUUAACUUAGUGAAGACGCUUUAGAUUCAGUGGCGCUGAUACUACUCUCAAAUGCGUUUCCUGAACCAUCAUUCUUAUUCAAAAAUACUGGCUCUAAGAAUAAAAAAAGAAGUAAAAAGUUAAAAACUACAAAUUCUUCGACAGAAGCGAAUGAAGUACUUAAAAAAUGAAAUCCGUCUAAAGCAGAAUCACGUGGAGGCUUCAUUCUUCAUGUGAAUGCAGAAAAUGAUGCACUCCCGAGCAUUAGUCGUCUCUCAAAUACACUAGCGACAUAUGAAUUACAAUUACAACCUAGAUCCAUCAUUUCUGGAGCUAUUGAUGAUGUCAUUGCUGCCCAUAUUUUUGUGAAUAAAACGCAAUACGAUUUGGAAUCAACAAUUCGAGCAGUUGCGGUUUGCUUUAAAAUAUAUUUCGUUUUACACGCAUUUUAUCCACCUGAAGCCAAAUCAGCUUGGCUGUUUAUACAAAAAGCAGUAUUUGAUUUGAAAUCAUUACAUGAUGGUAAAAUUCCGACUGCAGUAUCGGAAUUUUUGGAUGAGAUCAAUGUAAACCUCAAUUAAAAUUUAUUUAGUUUUUCAAAAUUUUGCCAAGUUCUAAUUAUUUUAACUGGAGAAAAGACUAUUUUUUUUUCUUUCAAAGCGAGUGCGAAUUUAAACUCCAGUUGAUGAUAUUCGUAUAGUUCAUUAUGUUUAGUUUUGUAAUAUUUCAUCAUUUUUAUGAGCAGAUUUUAAUAUUGCUAUUGUGAUAAGAAUUCUAGAAUUUCAUUAAUAAUGUCAUUUAUCUGUAAGUGUUUAAAAACUUUCAAUAUUGGUGUUGCUUUCACUAAGCAUUGUCAUAACGAGCAUACACAAGACUAUUCAGCAAAUUGUUUUCAAUGCUUAGGUGCUUGUAGUCGUAAAUAUGAUAAGUUAGAUGUAUUUCGAAAGCAUUUGUGAAAAAAUCAUCAAUUUCAAUGUCAUUCUACUAAUUUACUCACAGUAAGUAAUGAAAAUAAUGCUGACCUUGAAAUCAACAUCAAAACAGAAAACAAUAUAAAUGUUAAUGACAAAGUAUUUCCGAGUAAUACAGCUAAAUUUCCAUAUAUGUCAAAUAUUUAAAAUGAUGUCAAUUCUAAUUAUAAAAAAUAUUCUAAGAACGUUGAACAAUUAUCAUUAAUCCAAAAUCAAGUAUCACAAGUCGAUGCUAGAUUAGCUAUUACGAAUUAUGUUUAUCAAUUAGCUGCUAAAUGGUACUCUGAUAAUAAUUUAUCUCGAAAAAACAUUCAAUCAAAUAUUGAGGAUGUUGGAAAUUUCUUUAUUGAUGCUACUAAUAUUUUAUCUGAUACUGUAAUAAGUUUAUUUAGUAAGAACAAUAUUCCUAUUUCAAUUCAAACAGAUGUACAAAAAAUAUUUUCUGAUAUUCAGAAACCAUUUAAUAAUGCAGUUAGUGAGUACAUAAGCUUGAAAAAAUUUCGUGAAUCUGGAAAUUUAAUAGCUCCAGAAAAUGUUCUUCUUGGCACUAUUUCUGGGUCUAGAAUGAUCAAUGGAUAAUCACAAAUAAUUGCUGAAGAAGUAUUUGUUCAAUUUAUUUCGAUAAGACAUGUUUUACGUAUUUUUUACGAACUGCCUAAUGUUUUUAAAAAAACCCUUCUUUACAUGAAAUAUGUUAA